UCAUCGUUUUUACGAACCGGCCUGGAAGCCAAAAUCGAUGAAAAAAUAUAAAAUGACUUUUUUCAGUAUUUCGACUCAAUAGUCAAAUAUCUUUUAUUUCACAAAUUUGUAGGUCUUAAAACCAUUUCGUUACGUCAUUUUUGACGUCAUGAGACGCUCUGGGUUCAUGAGAAUGGACGAAUGCCGUUUUUACGAACCGGCUUGAUACGCGCGCCGCAGCUAGCUCGCCGACUCGCAUCGUCUGUUUGCUGAAACUUCGUUUUUACGAUCUGGCCUGAGGCGUCAGCUUGUUCAAACUUGCAUCAGCUGGAAACUGUUGCUUUCAGGUAGACCAAUGGGUGUCUCAUCAAACCAUACCUUCGACAGUUAAUUCGCCGUUCAUUGUUUGGUGAUUUCCAGAGCUGUUGCCUGAUUUUAAGAGUGAACAGAUUCUUAACUCUUCAAACGCAUCUGUGGUGGACUGUUACUUUCUAUUCCAAUUGUUCAUUCUACUGGGGACGAGAUGCUCAGUGUCUGACUGUCUGGUGAAGGGCUACUACUGAAAUUCCAUAAAUUGAAGCAUUCCAGGAGUGAAAGAUGUUUCAGAGAUUUUUGGAGACUCCACUUUUGAAGAUGAAGGAAAAUCACGAUCUCUUCUGAUAAAGGUAUACAUUUCUUGUGGUUUGACUGAACUUGUUUUCCUUUGGGAUAUUGAUAGAGAGAUCUCAAGACAGUAAACAUCAGUCUUCACAAUAACUCUGAUAUUGUAUUUACUGUCAAGAGCAUGUGAUAACUACUCUUGUUGCUUCAGAGACCAAAGCUCAAAACACAAUAUAUCAGUUCUUAUUUGGACUGGUAUAUUGUAUUGUCUGUAAAGAGCACGUGAUAUGGUCUAAAAUGUUUUCAUGGCAGAGAAGGACAGUUAGGUAGACCAAAGCUCAAAACAGAAUACAUGUAUAACAGAUUAACUGUGAAUUUCUGUCAAGGGCAAUUGGUAAAUUCUUGUUGCAUUUAGAGACCAAGAAGGACACUUUAGGUAGACCAAAGCUCAAAACAAAAUACAUGUAUAACAGAUUGCCUGUGAGAUGGUAUUUUCUGUCAAGGGCAAUUGGUAAAUUCUUUUUGCAUUUAGACACCAAGAAGGACACUUUAGGUAGACCAAAGCUCAAAACAAUACAUGUACAACAGAUUAACUGUGAGAUUGUAUUUUCUGGAAAAUUAAAACAAAAUACAUGUAUAACAGACUGUAAGAUUGUAUUUUCUGUCAAGACUGUAAGAAGUAUUUUUUUGUCCAGAGCAAGUGUACAAAUUUGUUAAAUUUAGCAAAUAUGAAAGACUCCGAUAUUUAAACAAUAGCUUAGAUCAGAAUACAUAUGUUGUUAGAAAGACUGUCAAAAUGCAGUUUGCUUGAAGUGUGGGUUUUUGUUUUAACCUAAUAUGAUGAAAUAGCUACUUGAUUUCCUAAACUGGUUUAUGUUCUCAUUUAGGAAUAAAUGUCACAAUUGCAUAUGUGUGUUGGGAAAAAAUUCAUGCAAAUAUUUUUAUCGCAUGUUUCUUUUCACAACAAAUUUUGAAACUCAGGUUAUGAAAUAAGUGUCAUUUUUACAAUUAAAGUUUUGCAGACACAACUUGCUACAGAUCUGAUUUUUCUUGUCAUAUUUUAUUUGCAAUCAAAUCCACUGCAGUACAAUUAACAGUCUUGAUGUUGCUUGAUUUUAUUUAUGGUGCUUUGAACAGAUCGUAAUAUAUUCAUGCUUGAAAUUCUAUAUAUUAUCCUCUGCCAUGUACUUGCCAAAUAGUAUAAUGACUACUCACGAUCCGUCUUUCAAGACUAGUUUGCAAUUCAUGAAAUAUUUUCAUUUGUUUUUAUUUGUUAAACUCUGAGAUUAUCUAUUAUUGUUUUGUAUUUAUUUUAAAAAAAGUGUUGUUUGUUAGAAAUGAGAUUAUGACCCUUUGGGUUUCAUGUAUUAAUGGUCAGUUUAAAUUUAAAUUGGUGUACACGUCUGAAAGAUUCUAAACUGGUUAUUAAAAAGACAUUUUGUCAAUAUGGAACCACUUUGGAACUUGAUUUGAAAACAAAAUAGAAUAAUGGGCAUGCAAAUCUUUCUGCUAAACUUAUAAUUUUGAACAGACACUGUAACAUUACAACACACACAAAAGAAAAUGGCAGUAAGAGGCAAGAGAUUUUUUAGAUUACACAGAACAUGGUGAGAACAUUCUAGGACACCAUCAUCAUGAUCAUGCAUUUGUGUAUUAUGUACAAUUUACUGUACAUAGUGUGAUCAAUUUACUGUACAUAGUGAUGCAUGGAGUUUGAUUUAUUUUUAAAAAUGGUUAAUGUUUUAAAAUUAGUGUUUAAUGUUUAAAAAUGUUCAACUGGAAGCUUAGUAAUAAUAUGUGUUCAUAAAAUGGUUUAUCUUUCACCUUCUUAAGUGAGUUUACAAAAUAAAUGGAAAUGAUUGUUGCCAUUUUUGUAUUUGAAUAAUCAAACCUGCAGUCGAUUAUUAAGAUAUUCAUUAAACAGAAGAGAAUAAACUUUUAUCCAGGUAAGAGAAAUAAAAUCAUAAAUGUUUAUACUGUAUGCAAAUAAUAAAAGUGCAUUUUGAUAAUAUAGAUUUAUAAAACAAAUUUAUUGAAAAACAGGUUUUCAAAUGCAGUACGCUGUCAUACGUUGUACAUUCAAAUAUGUACACAGAUAUAUCCUUGUGUCAAUGGCAAUGAGGGUGAUAAUGUGGGGUGUUUUUCUUUGUUAGGCAGGGGCAUUUUUAAUCUAAUUGAUAAGAUGUGUGUUUUAUGUUUAUAUGAAGUGCUUCUUUUAAUUUUCUUAUAAGAAUCUCAGUUAUAAAACUUAACCAAAUUGGUGUAAUUUCCUGAAGUACAUUUAAUGUAAAGUUGGUAUAUAGGAGACUGAUGAAUUAGUUAAUGUUAAAGAAAAUGAAGAUGUACUUUUAUAUGUCUCAUUGUGGAUGUUGACAUGGUUUUUGUAAAUGCAGGUAUAUUAUCUAUAUGAAUUUUUGAUGAGUAUUUUCAUUGUGUAUCCUUUCUAACAUUUGAUAUAAUUGAAACAAAUUUCUAUGAUCUUGUGUUGUCUAUGUUUGGAAUUUCAAUUAAAGGUGUAUUUUCAUCUUUUA